ACGCUCGACACCUACGGGGAGGCAGCAGUGGGGAAUAUUGCACAAUGGGGGAAACCCUGAUGCAGCGACGCCGCGUGAGCGAAGAAGUAUCUCGGUAUGUAAAGCUCUAUCAGCAGGGAAGAAGAUGACGGUACCUGACUAAGAAGCACCGGCUAAAUACGUGCCAACAGCCGCGGUAAUCUGAGCGGGCUGGCAAGGC
rnacentral:rRNA from 1 species